rnacentral:misc_RNA from 1 species
CGAUACAAUACUUGAGCUCUACGUUGAUUUCCAUUGGCCAUUUGUAGAAGCCCAAGUGUAGAUUACACUGGGAGUGGGAAAGUUUUGUUGGUACUAAUAAAGUUGUGGAAUUUGAGAUGUUUAGUCAAGGGAGUUAUAAUCUGCAAUCCGGACAAGGUCCUCAGACACCUAGGCCACCUCCAUUUUUACAGCAUCCACCGGCUCUGCUUCCUUUACCUCAGAAUUUCCAACAAGGUCCACUGCUGCCUUUACCUCAAGUUCUACCUCGCCCUGGUCAGCCUGGCCUGCCUACAUAUCAGCAAGGUCCUCUGGCCCCACAUCUUGCAGUUCGGCAGGUUCAACCUGGGUUGCCUAACACGGGUCAGCCUUAUUUUCCUCCACCGCCUGCACUUCCAUGAACUGCAGCCCGGUUGCCACAUGUAUACACAACUGCACCACCAAAUCCGCAAGGAUCGCAGCAUUCUUCUUAUUUAGCGCCUGGACUCCCUCCUCCUCCUCCUGCUGCUGCUGCUGGUUCACAUAAUCUGGAAAUGUUACAGGUCACAUUACCUCCUAGAAGUUUACCUCCUACACCNNNNNACGUUAUAUAGAGCUCCAAUUCAUCAGUUGCCUCAGCAGCCUGGUGGCAUGCAAGGUCUACAGCAAAUUCCACCACCCCCACCUCCCCCUCCUACUUUUUCAACUUCUUCCCUAUCUGGGAAUAUUUUAGAGGCAACUGUUGGAAACUCUCAAAUGUCUUCCAUGGUUCCCCCAUCAACGUCACCUCCUCCACCACUGCCAUCUUCUUCUCCACC